rnacentral:tRNA from 1 species
UAUUAGAUGGCUGAAAAUAAGCCCGGAUCUCUUAAAUCCCUCAUAGUAUAAACACUACUUCUAAUAA